UACGUAGGGGGCAAGCGUUAUCCGGAUUUACUGGGUGUAAAGGGAGCGUAGACGGCAGCGCAAGUCUGGAGUGAAAUGCCGGGGCCCAACCCCGGAACUGCUUUGGAAACUGUGCAGCUCGAGUGCAGGAGGGGUAAGCGGAAUUCCUAGUGUAGCGGUGAAAUGCGUAGAUAUUAGGAGGAACACCAGUGGCGAAGGCGGCUUACUGGACUGUAACUGACGUUGAGACUCGAAAGCGUGGGGAGCAAACAGG
rnacentral:rRNA from 1 species